rnacentral:lncRNA from 1 species
AGAAGUUCUAAAUUCAGGCGGUGUGGCCAUGAUCCUUGCAAACUCAGAAGCUACUGGAUUCAGUACAUUUGCUAUCGCGCAUGUUCUGCCGGCUGUUGAUGUGAGUUAUGCAGCUGGUUUAAUAAUCAAAGAUUACAUAAACUCAACCUACAAUCCAACCGCAACAGNNNNNNNNNNNNNNNNNNNNNNNNNNNNNNNNNNNNNNNNNNNNNNNNNNNNNNNNNNNNNNNNNNNNNNNNNNNGGGCUAUUUCUGUAGACAACGAACUCCCACCUUAUAACAUUAUUUCCGGUACUUCAAUGUCUUGUCCUCAUCUUAGUGGUAUUGCUGCAUUGAUUAAAAGCUCUCACCCUGAUUGGUCACCGGCCGCCAUAAAAUCAGCAAUACUGACAACUGCUAAUACUCUCAACCUUGGUGGGAAUCCUAUAACGGAUCAAAGACAUUUACCUGCUGAUGUUUUCGCUACUGGUGCAGGACAUGUUAAUCCUGUUAAAGCUAAUGAUCCUGGUCUUGUUUAUGAUAUUCAGCCUGAAUAUUAUGUUCCUUAUUUGUGUGGUUUGGGUUAUUCUGAUAAAGAGAUUGAAGUUAUUGUUCAGUGGAAAGUGAAGUGUUCUGAUGUGAAAAGUAUACCAGAAGCACAACUGAACUAUCCGUCUUUUUCGAUUCUGUUAGGGUCUGAAUCGCAGUUUUAUACAAGAACUUUGACUAAUGUUGGACCAGUAAAUGCUACUUAUAGAGUUGAACUUGAAGUGCCUUUGGCUUUAGGUAUGAAUGUUAAUCCUAGUGUGAUAUCAUUUAGUGAGAUUAAUGAGAAGAUUAGUUACUCGGUGGAUUUCUUACCGCAAGUUAAGGAAAAUCGAGGUAACCAUACAUUUGCUCAGGGUUCUCUCACUUGGAUAUCUGAUAAACAUGCUGUUAGGGUACCUAUAUCUGUGAUUUUCAAGUGAUACAUAAAGGGAGAGUGUGAUGAUAUGAUAGUUAUGAUACUCUAGAAAUAAAUAAGGGAAUGGAAUAUAUUGGUUUAGAAAAUUCAAGAGAUACUAAUUUACUAAGAAGCUCCUUUGUACAAGUUUAUUAGCAAUUCACUUGGCACUUAUAUUUGUUAUUGAAAAAACAUUAUUAUUAUAAUUUUUUUUUUGAAAAGAAACAUUAUUAUUAUAAUAAGUUAUCUUUCUUUUUAUAUAUAAGCCAUAUAAUGUUAUCAACAAAAGAGAUGUUGAAUGAAAUAUCAACAGCAUAGUAAGAAGUUCCUUUGUGUGGAUUGGAUCUUCUGGUUCUCUUGGGUCAUGUGAGUAGCUUGUGGAUCAGCACGUUGGGUUUUGAGCAACCACACAAGUGAAUUGAACACCACAUUUUAAUUCAAAACCUUGAGUCAUUGAGUAUAUGAGUCCUCUUUGAAUUGUGGGAUUUUCUAAGAAUUCCAAGUCUAAAGGUACAUUCAUCCACCUGGUGAAAUAUACUUGUUAAAUUUUCACUCAUUCUGGAUGUUAUCAUGGUAUCAUAGUAGUGAAUUAGUUUGUGUUCUUUAAGUGUGAAGACUCAUGGUUCAAAAGUUCGAAUGAUGAUAGCAUUACACACGUAUACUAUUAACGUACCGACAUCACCAUGCAAAUUACGUUAAUUUAUUUUUAAUUUUCUAUCCAACAAUAUAAAUAUAACUUAUUAUACUAUUAGAUGCACCCUUUAUAUGAAUGAUUUUAAUAUCCCUCCUUUAAUAAGUUUGAAUAAAUCACAAUGUCAUUCUAUUUCUAUCUUUUAAUUAUACAUCAUAGACAUUGAAAUAUUGAAAUGUAAUCUUGUGGCUGCAAAAUAAUGUAGGAAAAGCCUUUUAUAUUUGGAGAAAAGCAAAUUAAUAGUGCGAGUGAGUGUUGCAUCAGCAAAACUAAUACAGUAUUGAGUGCACGGAGGUAUGCAUAAUUGGUGCUACUACUUUACAUGUUUAAAUUUGAUUUGUUAUUUCCAUUCUUAACUGAAAUGUUCCAGGAGCUUGGUAAUGCGGUAACGGCAAGUCAGAAACUAAAACUAGGCAAUUUUGCUAAAGAAUUUAGUCAUGCAACAUCAGAAUUUUCUCGGCUAAUUUGAGAGCCGAUCGACUUAGACAUAACCAAACCUGAUAGGGGUCAACACUUAGAUCUUCUCAGAUUGUUCUUUCUGUACAAAGAGUCAUACAAAAUUACUUUGUUAGAACAUAAGUGAGCAUAGAUUUCAAAGUGCAUCAUUUGUAUCUCUUGUAUAGAUUACUUUGUUGAAUUAAUGAAAUUCAUUGUUAAUUAUGAGUUAUUAAGCAGAGUGAGUACUUAGCUUAGAGUUAUUAAGCAGAGUAACUUAAGUAGUUGCUUUCACACAAUGUAAUGAUCCUUUGUACUCCCCUCAUGACAGAACAAUUAUAAUACUACUAGAAAAAGAAAAAAAUUUGUUGAAGUUGUCUUUUUGUGGAUAAACUUUUCCAAGUCAAAAACAACAUAUGGCAAUGUUAGGGAGAUAUGUCCAGAAAAAUAGAUGUACCAUGUAUAAUCUAACAACAAAAAGACCAUACAAAUUAACAUCAAAUAUAUAGCGGGCAUUACUAUAAUUACUAUAAGUGUUGCUUUUUUUUUAAAAAAAAANNNNNNNNNNNNNNNNNNAAAAAAAAAAAAAAAAAAACUAUAAGUGUUGCUUAUUUCAAAUUACCUAAAAAAUCUUUUGUCACUCAUAUUUACGGAUUUACCCUUCAUUGAAAACGAAUUAGCCGUCCCAAGCCAGCACAAUGUGUGUCCUUGUUUUCCUUACUAUGUAGUAAGUAAUUAAAAUAAAACUAUGGCCAUUAUCCCAUUUUGUUUUCUAUUGUAUAUAUAUAUAUAUAUAUAUAUAUAUAUAUAUAUAUAUAUAUACACGAGCAUGGCACUAGGAAAAUCACAAGCAUUUCUUUUCUGUAUCUUCAUCAAAUCAUGAUAAAAACCAACCACACAAUGAAGCUUGCAUUGGUUGUUGGUCUCAUUUUCAUUCUCUGCAGCAUCAACCAAAUUACAUCAGUACUUGCUGCUGCAGAGGUGAAUCAAGAACAUGAUCAAAAUUUAAUGACAUACAUUGUUCAUGUCAAAAAAUCAGAUAAUGUUGCUUCUUUUCAAUCCGAAGAUUUCCAUAACUGGUACCAUUCAUUUCUCCCACAAAAUUUUCCUCACAAAGAGAGAAUGGUUUUCACUUACCGCAACGUAGCCUCUGGAUUCGCCGUGAAGCUUACACCAGAAGAAGCCAAAUCUCUUCAAGAAAAAGGUGAAGUUGUGUCAGCAAGACCUGAAAGAACACUUUCAUUACACACAACUCAUACUCCAACUUUCUUAGGGUUAAAACAAGGACAAGGAUUGUGGAGCGAUGAUAACCUCGGAAAAGGCGUAAUAAUUGGACUCAUAGACACCGGAAUAUACCCUUUUCAUCCAUCAUUCAACGACGAAGGAAUGCCACCGCCACCCGCAAAAUGGAAAGGCCACUGUGAAUUCACUGGUGGCACAACAUGCAACAAUAAGCUCAUAGGUGCAAGAAAUCUAGACAAAAGCGCAAUUCAAGAGCCUCCAUUUGAAACCUUAAUAUUCCAUGGAACACACACUGCUGCAGAGGCAGGAGGAAGAUUCAUAGAAGAUGCAAGUGUUUUCGGUAAUGCUAAAGGUGUAGCAGCUGGUAUGGCACCUAAUGCUCACAUAGCAAUGUACAAAGUUUGUGCUAGUGGCACUCGAGAAUGCUACGAAAGUUCUAUCUUAGCUGCAAUGGAUAUAGCUAUUGAAGAUGGUGUAGAUGUUCUUUCACUCUCUCUUGGUUUGGAUUCUACUGUUCCAUUUUUUGAAGACCCUAUUGCAAUUGGUGCAUUUGCUGCUACACAAAAAGGAGUUUUUGUUAGUUGUUCUGCUGCAAACUCCGGCCCUGAAUACAGCACUCUCUCAAAUGAAGCUCCUUGGAUACUCACAGUAGGUGCAAGCACAAUUGAUCGAAAAAUUGUAGCAUCAGCUAAAAUAGGAAAUGGAGAUGAAUUUGAAGGUGAAACAUUAUUCCAACCCAAAGACUUUCCUCAACAAUUAUUGCCACUUGUGUAUGCAGGUUCAAAUGGUAUUUCAAGCCAGAACCAGAAUCAAUCCUUCUGUCUUCCAGGUUCCUUAAAGAACAUUGAUGUAAGAGGCAAAGUAGUGUUGUGUGAUAUAGGUGGAGGUGUUUCAAGUGUUGUCAAAGGACAAGAAGUUCUAAAUUCAGGCGGUGUGGCGAUGAUCCUUGCAAACUCAGAAGCUAUUGGAUUCAGUACAUUUGCAAUCGCGCAUGUUCUGCCGGCUGUUGAUGUGAGUUAUGCAGCUGGUUUAAUAAUCAAAGAUUACAUAAACUCAACCUACAAUCCAACCGCAACAGUACUAUUCAAAGGAACNNNNNNNNNNNNNNNNNNNNNNNNNNNNNNNNNNNNNNNNNNNAACAUUCUAGCUGCUUGGGCUAUUUCUGUAGACAACGAACUCCCACCUUAUAACAUUAUUUCCGGUACUUCAAUGUCUUGUCCUCAUCUUAGUGGUAUUGCUGCAUUGAUCAAAAGCUCUCACCCUGAUUGGUCACCGGCCGCUAUAAAAUCGGCAAUCAUGACAACUGCUAAUACUCUCAACCUCGGCGGUACUCCUAUAACGGAUCAAAGACUUUUACCUGCUGAUGUUUUCGCUACUGGUGCGGGACAUGUUAAUCCUGUUAAAGCUAAUGAUCCUGGUCUUGUUUAUGAUAUUCAACCGGAAGAUUAUGUUCCUUAUUUGUGUGGUUUGGGUUAUUCUGAUAAAGAGAUUGGAGUUAUUGUUCAGUGGAAAGUGAAGUGUUCUGAUGUGAAAAGUAUACCAGAAGCACAACUGAACUAUCCGUCUUUUUCGAUUCUGUUGGGGUCUGAGUCACAGUUUUAUACAAGAACUUUGACUAAUGUUGGACCAGUGAAUGCUACUUAUAGAGUUGAACUGGAAGUGCCUUUGGCUUUAGGUAUGAGUGUUAAUCCUAGUGUGAUAACAUUUAGUGAGAUUAAUGAGAAGAUUAGUUACUCGGUCGAUUUUUUACCGCAAGUCAAAGAAAAUCGAGGUAACCAUACUUUUGCUCAGGGUUCUCUCACUUGGAUAUCUGAUAAACAUGCUGUCAGGAUCCCCAUAUCUGUGAUUUUCAAGUGAUAUUUAUAAGUAGGGAGAGGGUGUUGAUAUGUGUUGAGAUUAUUAGAUUUAUUAUAUUAAGAUUUGUUAGUGUCCUUUAGCAUUAUGAUAUGAUAUUAUUCCUAUUUAGAUUACAUUUUAUAUGCAUAUAAUAAAUAUUUUGUUCAACCCUUCUUAUGGUUAAUGAGAAAUAUUCAUAUUCAAGUUGGUAUCUACUAUCUAGAGCAAAGAUUUUCUUUCGGUUCAGCUUUCGUCGAGGCUAAUCGUUGUUUUUUUUAGUUUGGUUGUGUUGUCGAGCAGCAUAAGAGCCACUACCACCACAACCUCCAUAGACACGCGCUAGUUGUCUUAUGAAGCGCUUCUUUCAUACGCCAAGCCGUGCACCAUCGCAUAGUUUUGCGCAUAUCGAUGGCUUGAGCCACAUCCACCGCCUUCCCGCCACGGGAGACACUCCUAAGUCAUUUAACUUACCACUUUUUGAUGUUUUUUAUUUGUUUGUUGCAAAUUUGUCUUCUGAAGUCAUUCAAAGUUAUUUCGGGUUAACAUUUUGGUGGUUGUUCAAUAGACUUCAUCUCCAGCUAUCCAGGUAGAUAAAAGCAAGAAUCCAUGUAAGUUCAUCUUCAUGAUCCAACACGGCUUCCCCUUUCUGUCACAAAUUGAUAGACAAGAGAUGACGAGUCAAAAUUGCACCAGUUGAUAUUUAGCUGACUUACUACAUAUUAAACUAUGUGCAGUAGUGUCAUAUCACAAUUACAAUAGAUGAGAGCUGAAUUGACUCAGAUAAAGUCAACCAAUUAAACCAUAAUAGAGUAUAAACCUAGGAAUAACUCUUAUACUUGUGUAAAAUUAAACAUAUGAGACCAAAUUAAAUCAAAGAUUUUUUAUAAUGCAUAAUGCAUGAAGAAAAAAUAACUUACUAUGAGUAUUUCGUUAAUGUCUUUAAAAAUAAAAGUAGUCAAAAUUACUAUGUGGUAAAACAUUACUUAUGUUUAACUUAAAUAUAUGUGAAUGAAUUUCAUUGGUACCACAUCAGCAUAAGACAACUACCCUCACUUUAUGUGAGGGUUAAUUAGAAAAAACCUUAAAUAUUUUGACACCCUGCUCAAGUUGGUGCAUAUACAUGUCCUUGCUUAUCAAAUAUUGAAAACUUGUUCUUGCUAAGCUAUUGGUCAAAAUAUAUGAUAUGUAUUGAUGUAUGCUAAUAUUAAGACACAAAAGUUAGACAGAGUAAAGUGACGAUCAAUUUUAGUUAAUAUGUUUUGUUCAAUCAUGUUGUCACAAUAUAAUUGUCAAUAGAAAUUCUUUGAGCCAUUACCCUAAACUUAGCCCCUGGAAUAUGGACUGCUUCUUGCAACUACUAUUUGCUUCUUACUCUGCAAGUUAUCAAGUUUUCCCAUACAUACGUACAAUAAUCUAAAGUAGACUCUUUUUUUUUUUNNNNNNNNNNNNUCUGCGUGCAACUGUAGAAACUAAACUUUCGAGUCUUGUGGAACCCAAAUGAGAGACAAACUAUUGCAUGCUCAAGCCUAGAACUAACGCAAGACCUAUUGGUUAAGCUAGAAGAGACCCGCACCAUCUCAUCUAAGUGUUUUUGCCACCUAAAGUAGACUUUCUAUCCAUUAAAAGAGUAAUUUUAAACAUUCAAAAACUUAGAUAUCCAUGUAUUGUUAAAGAUUUUAACAUAAUAAAAGUCACAUUUAUUUUCAAAAAGAUAUCUCUCAAAAUUUGUGUUUAUUGAAAUUUUAUCUUCUAAAAAAAAUCGUAGCAAAUUGAUGAAAUAAUUAAAAUAUUUUUUAUAAGAAAGAAACUAUUCAAACAAAUUUCUCAUCUAGAACAUAUUUUUAGAAAAAUUCUUUCAAACAAGUUUUAAUAUAGAGAUGAAAUACUAUAAAAUAAUUUAUUUUUCAAAAGUUGUAACAAACAUAUUCAUACUGGUCGUAAAAAAAUAUGUUGAAUUUCUCUAAUAUAAUACUACAAAACUUGUCUUUUUUGUUGAUAAACUUUUCCAAACCAAAAACAAUAUAUGACAAUGUUAGCCAGAUAUGUCCAGAAAAUGAAUGUACCAAUGUACCAUUUUUGUAUUUUGUGAAACACCAAUGUACCAUGUACAAUUUAGCUAUUAGCAUUGGACAGUCCAUACAAAUUAACAUCAAAUAUAUAGCGAGCAUUACUAUGAAAGUUGCUUAAUUCAAAUUACCUAAACAAAACAAGACUUGAAUACGAGAGGUUGCGGUUCGAGCUCCGCUAAUAUUUUUGAACAAAGCAAAAUUUAAAUAUAUUGUAAGUACAAAAACUCCUUAAAUUAGAUGUGUCUCAGUGUCGCACUGUCACGUGUUAGUGUAUGUUUCGCGUCUGAUGUCCGUGUCUGUGCUUCAUAAGUACUAUUUGAACCUUAAGGUCUUCACAAUCUUGACAUGGGGAACCAUCCCCUCACCAUAAAUUUUAUUUUAACAAAAAAAAUUAAAAAAUCUUUUAAUUCUCUUAAGCCGUCCUAAGCCAGCCAGCCAGCACACAAUGCAUUUCCUUGUUCUCCUUCCUAUGUAGUAAGUAAUUAAAAUAAAACUAAAACUAUGGCCAUUUUGCUAUUUUGUUUUCUAUUGUAUAUAUCUAUCUCUAAUCUAUCUAUAUAUAUACCAUGUGCAUGGCACUAGGAAAAUCACAAGCAAUUCUUUCUGUAUCAUUGUAAAAACCAAUUACACAAUGAAGCUUGCAUUUCUUGUUGGUCUCAUUUUCAUUCUCUGCAGCAUCAACCAAAUUACAUCAGUACUUGCUGCAGAGGUGAAUCAAGAACAUGAUGAACAGAACUUGAUGACAUACAUUGUACAUGUCAAAAAAUCAGAAAAUGUUGCUUCUUUUCAAUCAGAAGAUUUUCAUAACUGGUACCAUUCAUUUCUCCCACAAACUUUUGCUCACAAAGAGAGAAUGGUUUUCACUUACCGCAACGUAGCCUCUGGAUUCGCCGUGAAGCUCACACCAGAAGAAGCCAAGUCUCUUCAAGAAAAAGGUGAAAUUGUGUCAGCAAGACCUGAAAGAAUACUUUCAUUACACACAACUCAUACUCCAACUUUCUUGGGGCUCAAACAAGGACAAGGAUUGUGGAGUGAUGAUAACCUUGGAAAAGGCGUCAUCAUUGGAGUCAUAGACACAGGAAUAUACCCUUUUCAUCCAUCAUUCAACGACGAAGGAAUGCCACCACCACCUGCAAAAUGGAAAGGACAUUGUGAAUUCACUGGCGAAAGAACAUGCAACAAUAAGCUCAUAGGUGCAAGAAAUUUAGUCAAAAGCGCAAUUCAAGAGCCACCAUUCGAAAAUUUCUUCCAUGGAACACACACCGCUGCAGAGGCUGCAGGAAGAUUCGUAGAGGAUGCAAGUGUUUUUGGAAAUGCUAAAGGUGUAGCAGCUGGUAUGGCACCUAAUGCUCACCUAGCAAUUUACAAAGUGUGUAAUGGCAAAAUUGGAUGCACUGAAAGUGCUAUUUUAGCUGCAAUGGAUAUUGCUAUUGAAGAUGGUGUAGAUGUUCUUUCACUCUCUCUUGGUUUGGGUUCUCUUUCAUUUUUUGAAGACCCUAUUGCAAUUGGUGCUUUUGCUGCUACACAAAAAGGAGUUUUUGUUAGUUGUUCUGCUGCAAACUCCGGCCCCGAAUACAGUACUCUGUCAAAUGAAGCUCCUUGGAUCCUCACAGUUGGUGCUAGCACAAUUGACAGAAAAAUUGCAGCAUCAGCAAAGCUAGGAAAUGGAGAUGAAUUUUAUGGUGAAACAUUGUUCCAACCCAAAGACUUUUCUCAACAAUUGUUGCCACUUGUUUAUGCAGGUUCAAAUGGAAAUUCAAACCAGAACCAGAAUCAGUCUUUCUGUCUUCCAGGUUCCUUAAAGAACAUUGAUGUAAGUGGUAAAGUAGUGGUGUGUGAUAUAGGUGGAGGUGUUCCAGCUGUUGUCAAAGGACAAGAAGUUCUAAAUUCUGGCGGUGUGGCAAUGAUCGUUGCAAACUCAGAAGCUAUUGGAUUCAGCACUUUCGCUAUUCCUCAUGUUCUUCCAGCUGUUGAAGUGAGUUAUGCAGCUGGUUUAAUAAUCAAAGGUUACAUUAACUCAACCUACAAUCCAACAGCAACAGUACUAUUCAAAGGAACAGUAAUCGGUGAUUCACUUGCUCCAACUGUUGUUUCAUUUUCUUCUAGAGGACCAAGUCAAGAAAGUCCUGGGAUUCUAAAACCAG